ACCAACGGCAUGAUUAUAUAAUAAUCAACUGUUGGUAUCAGCUUUCACAGCGCUUUAAAUAUUUCAAUGAUUAUUUUGACAAAAACAAACUACUGACAGAUUUUAUGUAAAACUAUAUUAUACGUAUGAGAUUUAAACAAGAAACAGGUUAUUGUACUGGGAAAAUACUCAAAGAUGAAACCACUUGUGUGUUGUUUAGUUGUUACACUUAUCCAAAAUUAUGCAGGAGCGUCAACUUUAAGAUGUUACAGCUGCGAAUCAUGCGGUGAUCCCUUUGAUAAAUCUAACAUACUGAAUGUGACUUGUUCUGGUUCUUGCCAUAAAUCAAACAAAAAAGGGUGUAUUUCAAGAGGCUGUUCAAAUAUUACUCUAGUAUCAGAUUGUUCACAUGAUGAACAACUUGAAGUAUGUGCAUGUGACACCUAUCUAUGUAACAAGACGCAAGGAAAGCACAAAUAUUUGGUUGGACUUUAUAUCGCCAGCAUCAUCUGUUUUCUUUUACAAACUUUCGAUAGAUAUCAUAAUUGACGCGUUUCAUAUUGAUCAUCGUUUGCUGUUAACAGGUCUUUAGAUGUACAUUAUGACGAACGGUUAUUUUAAACAUUCGCCAUUACCUGAGAAAAGUACUUUCAAAUGUGUUUAAUCUUUCACUAUACAGUUAUAGACAAACACUUGUACCAGUUUUUAAAUGAGAUAAUUGUUCAUGACUAUCUUGGGAUAAAUAUGGCUGAUUUCCCUUGUGCAGUUUAGCUUGCUAGUAAAACUUAUAUUCUAAAUAAUAAAACAAAACAAAAACAUGAUAUUAUUUUUGAAUGUGCACGUGUCUAUGCAUAGCUUUGCUCCCUUUCUCUUUAUUAUACGUAUUAUUUGUAUUGUAUUCUAUUUCAAAUGACAAAAUGUUCAUUUGUGUUACACGAGUUAAAAUGAUAGAGUUUGAUGCUAGCCUUUCUUAAACGGUAUAUAGCUAUCUUUAUGAAACUUUGUAUAGAAUUUAAAAACAGUUUAUAAUGACUUUUCCAUAGCUUUAUAGUAGAUUAUCGAAAUUGUAAAAGUAAAAAUUUGAUAAAAGAACGAUUCUUUGAUUCUACACAACUGAAUUCAUACUGUAUGUUAACAUAAUAAAAUGUUUCGGAGCAAAAGAUUAAAAUAAGAUUUUAACCGUCUUACAAUGAUUUUGUGCAUGUGCCAAAAUAUUUUUUUCCCAUAAAGUAAUUUGAAUUUAUUCUUUUUCAAAAUUCAAACAAACUUUUUGUAUACUACAGGCAGAAGAGAUAAGGUUCCAUCUACAUAUGUACAUACAUGGAUAUAAACAUAAAUAAAAGAACAAUAAAAACAAAAUAUAUCAACUCUGGAAAGAAUAUAUAAUUUGUACUACGUUUUACAUACAUUAUUGUGGUGAUUUGUAUGAAACAAGAAUUUUCAAUGAUUCACCUCUACCACCAUUAAAUCAUUUAAUUGUGGGAUCUGAUCAAAGUAUGACACUUUUGUUAUUGAAGAUUGAAUAAUUAUGCAUGCAGGAGUAUUACAUCGAGAAUAAAGAGAUCAUUUAGAUUGAAUAAACGUCCAUAUCAAAAUACUAACAUUAGGCGGGAGGUGAGAGAUCAAGGAGAAAGCAUUUUUUUUUCUUAGUGUAUUUUGCUAAAAUAUGAUAAUCGAGAUCAUCAAAGAUAGGCGGCGUUCAAUGAGCGUAAACCUUGCAAAGUGAUAUAAUAAAAAAUAUAUAAAUUAUAGGUAUAGACUUACUUAAAUAGAAGUUUUAUUAAAGAAGACCUUGAAAUAAUAACUGUAGUGCAAAUACACAUAUUUUCGGCAUGAUUGCCCUCCUUUAAAAGCGGUAAAUUUCCGUUUAUGUAAUUUUCUAUAUUGUAAAGUUUUUAUUUAAGAAUAGACGAAAUCAUUAUAUUGUAAAAGAUACAUAUUUUUAAAUGUUUUUAUAAAUAUUAUUAAAUGUUUUAUUUCGA